rnacentral:rRNA from 1 species
UACAGAGGGUGCGAGCGUUAAUCGGAAUUACUGGGCGUAAAGCGUGCGCAGGCGGUUCGUUAAGUUCGUUGUGAAAGCCCCGGGCUCAACCUGGGAACUGCAAUGGAAACUGGCGGGCUUGAAUGCGGCAGAGGGGGGUGGAAUUCCGCGUGUAGCAGUGAAAUGCGUAGAGAUGCGGAGGAACACCGGUGGCGAAGGCGGAUCUCUGGGCCUUACCUGACGCUGAGGCGCGAAAGCUAGGGGAGCGAACAGG